CAAAUACUCCCUUUGUCCCAAAAAUUUUGCCUCAGAUUUGUCUAAAUACGGAUGUAUCAAAUCACAUUUUAGUAUUAGGUACAUCCGUAUCUAGAUAAAUCUAAAACAAGAAUUUUAGGACGGAGGGAGUAUAAA
rfam:Triticum aestivum genome assembly, contig: Triticum_aestivum_CS42_TGACv1_scaffold_195567_3AL